AUUGAACGCUGGCGGCAGGCUUAACACAUGCAAGUCGAGCGGGGAAAGGUAGCUUGCUACCUGACCUAGCGGCGGACGGGUGAGUAAUGCUUAGGAAUCUGCCUAUUAGUGGGGGACAACAUCUCGAAAGGGAUGCUAAUACCGCAUACGUCCUACGGGAGAAAGCAGGGGACCUUCGGGCCUUGCGCUAAUAGAUGAGCCUAAGUCGGAUUAGCUAGUUGGUGGGGUAAAGGCCUACCAAGGCGACGAUCUGUAGCGGGUCUGAGAGGAUGAUCCGCCACACUGGGACUGAGACACGCCCCAGACUCCUACGGGAGGCAGCAGUGGGGAAUAUCGGACGAUGGGGGGAACCCUGAUCCAGCCAUGCCGCGUGUGUGAAGAAGGCCUUUUGGUUGUAAAGCACUUUAAGCGAGGAGGAGGCUUACCUGGUUAAUACCUGGGAUAAGUGGACGUUACUCGCAGAAUAAGCACCGGCUAACUCUGUGCCAGCCGCCGCGGUAACAC
rnacentral:rRNA from 1 species